ACUCCUACGGGAGGCAGCAGUGGGGAAUAUUGCACAAUGGGCGCAAGCCUGAUGCAGCCAUGCCGCGUGUAUGAAGAAGGCCUUCGGGUUGUAAAGUACUUUCAGCAGUGAGGAAGGUGGAGUCGUUAAUAGCGGCCUCAUUUGACGUUAGCUGCAGAAGAAGCACCGGCUAACUCCGUGCCAGCAGCCGCGGUAAUACGGAGGGUGCGAGCGUUAAUCGGAAUUACUGGGCGUAAAGCGCGCGUAGGCGGAUCGGAAAGUUGGGGUGAAAUCCCGGGGCUCAACCCCGGAACUGCCUCCAAAAACUAUCGGGUCUAGAGUUCGAGAGAGGUGAGUGAAUUCCGAGUGUAGAGGUGAAAUUCGUAGAUAUUCGGAGGAACACCAGUGGCGAAGGCGGCUCACUGGCUCGAUACUGACGCUGAGGUGCGAAAAGCGUGGGGAGCAAACAGGAUUAGAUACCCUGGUAGCUACGAGU
rnacentral:rRNA from 1 species